rnacentral:rRNA from 1 species
UCGCUCCUACCGAUUGGGUGUGCUGGUGAAAUGUUGGGAUUGGCGGCAGAUGGCGGUUCGCCGCACUCUGCCACCGAGAACUUCAUUAAACCCUCCCACCUAGAGGAAGGAG